rnacentral:rRNA from 1 species
GCCAGUCGAACGACCCGGACUAUGGCGGGGAGUGGCAGACUGCUCAGUAACACGUAGCUAACCUACCCUCGGGACGGGGAUAACCCCGGGAAACUGGGGCUAAUACCCGAUAGGUAUGGAUUCCUGGAAUGGUGCCAUGCCUAAACGUAAGCACAUCCAUGUUUGUGUGCACGCCCGAGGAUGGGGCUGCGGCCGAUCAGGCAGUUGGUGAGGUAACGGCUCACCAAACCUUUGACCGGUACGGGCCAUGAGAGUGGUAGCCCGGAGAUGGGCACUGAGACAAGGGCCCAGGCCCUACGGGGCGCAGCAGGCGCGAAACCUCCACAAUUCACGCAAGUGAGAUGGGGUUACCUCGAGUGCUAUCUGAAGAAGGUGGCUUUUCCAUGGUGUAAUGAGCCGUGGGAAUAAGGGGGGGGCAAGACUGGUGUCAGCCGCCGCGGUAACACCAGCCCCCCGAGUGGUGGGGAUGAUUAUUUGGCCUAAAGCGUCCGUAGCCAGCUCGGUAAAUCUCUCGUUAAAUCCAGCGUCCUAAGCGUUGGGCUGCGAGGGAAACUGCCGAACUAGAGGGUGGGAGAGGUCAGCGGUAUUCCUGGGGUAGGGGCGAAAUCCAUUGAUCCCAGGAGGACCACCAGUGGCGAAGGCUGCUGACUAGAACACGCCUGACGGUGAGGGACGAAAGCUGGGGUAGCGAAUCGGAUUAGAUACCCGAGUAGUCCCAGCCGUAAACGAUGCAGGCUAGGU